rnacentral:rRNA from 1 species
AGAGUUUGAUCCUGGCUCAGGAUGAAUGCUGGCUGUAUGGAUAAGGCAUGCAAGUCGAACGGACCGCAAGGUCAGUGGCAGACGAGGUAGUAACACGUAGGUACGUACUCCAAAGUCUGGUAUAGCUCGUCGAAAGACGGGGUAAUCCCGGAUGGUCCCGCAAGGGUAAAGAUUUAUCGCUUUGGAAGCGGCCUGCGUAGUAUCAGCUUGUUGGUAAGGUAAUGGCUUACCAAGGCUACGACGCUUAGGGGAGCUGAGAGGCUGACCCCCACCGAUGGGACUGAGACACGGCCCAUACUCCUACGGGAGGCCGCAGUCGAGAAUCUUCCGCAAUGGACGAAAGUCUGACGGAGCGAUACAGCGUGAUGGACGAAGUGCUUCGGUACGUAAACAUCUUUUAUGUGGGACGAAAUUAUUGACGGUACCACAUGAAUAAGGGGCUCCUAACUCUGUGCCAGCAGGAGCGGUAAUACAGAGGCCCCAAGCAUUAUCCGGAAUCACUGGGCGUAAAGGGUGUCAAGGCGGUCAUGUUAGUCGUUCGUUAAAUCUGGGGGCUCAACCUCCAGCCUGCGAGCGAAACGGCAUGACUUGAGGUUGGAAGAGGUGCGUGGAACUCACGGUGUAGGGGUGAAAUACGUAGAUAUCGGGAGGAACAUCCGUGGCGAAGGCGACACCCUGGACCAGCACUGACACUGAGGCACGAAAGCGUGGGGAGCAAACAGGAUUAGAUACCCUGGUAGUCC